CUACGGGGUGCUCCAGUGGGGAAUAUUGCACAAUGGGCGCAAGCCUGAUGCAGCCAUGCCGCGUGUAUGAAGAAGGCCUUCGGGUUGUAAAGUACUUUCAGCGGGGAGGAAGGGAGUAAAGUUAAUACCUUUGCUCAUUGACGUUACCCGCAGAAGAAGCACCGGCUAACUCCGUGCCAGCAGCCGCGGUAAUACGGAGGGUGCAAGCGUUAAGCGGAAUUACUGGGCGUAAAGCGCACGCAGGCGGUUUGUUAAGUCAGAUGUGAAAUCCCCGGGCUCAACCUGGGAACUGCAUCUGAUACUGGCAAGCUUGAGUCUCGUAGAGGGGGGUAGAAUUCCAGGUGUAGCGGCGAAAUGCGUAGAGAUCUGGAGGAAUACCGGUGGCGAAGGCGGCCCCCUGGACGAAGACUGACGCUCAGGUGCGAAAGCGUGGGGAGCAAACAGGAUUAGAUACUCCGGUAGUC
rnacentral:rRNA from 1 species